rnacentral:tRNA from 1 species
ACCUGGCUGGCUCAGUUGGUAGAGCAGGUGACUCUUGAUCUCUGGGUCAUGAGUUCAAGCCCCAUGUUGGGCC